rnacentral:rRNA from 1 species
GACGAACGCUGGCGGCGUGCUUAACACAUGCAAGUCGAACGGAAAGGCCCUGCUUUUGUGGGGUGCUCGAGUGGCGAACGGGUGAGUAACACGUGAGUAACCUGCCCUUGACUUUGGGAUAACUUCAGGAAACUGGGGCUAAUACCGGAUAGGAGCUCCUGCUGCAUGGUGGGGGUUGGAAAGUUUCGGCGGUUGGGGAUGGACUCGCGGCUUAUCAGCUUGUUGGUGGGGUAGUGGCUUACCAAGGCUUUGACGGGUAGCCGGCCUGAGAGGGUGACCGGCCACAUUGGGACUGAGAUACGGCCCAGACUCCUACGGGAGGCAGCAGUGGGAAUAUUGCACAAUGGGCGGAAGCCUGAUGCAGCAACGCCGCGUGCGGGAUGACGGCCUUCGGGUUAUAAACCGCUUUCGCCUGUGACGAAGCGUGAGUGACGGUAAUGGGUAAAGAAGCACCGGCUAACUACGUG